UGCGAGUCAUAUGUUCUUCGUGAACAUGGCGUACUGCUCAGUAACACGUGGAUAACCUUCCCUUGGGUCCGGGAUAACCCCGGGAAACUGGGGAUAAUACCGGAUAACGCAUAAAUGCUGGAAUGCUUCAUGCGUAAAACGGAUUCGUCUGCCCAAGGAUGGGUCUGCGGCCUAUCAGGUAGUAGUGGGUGUAAUGUACCUACUAGCCGACGACGGGUACGGGUUGUGAGAGCAAGAGCCCGGAGAUGGAUUCUGAGACAUGAAUCCAGGCCCUACGGGGCGCAGCAGGCGCGAAAACUUUACAAUGCGGGAAACCGUGAUAAGGGGACACCGAGUGCCAGCAUCAUAUGCUGGCUGUCCGGGUGUGUAAAAUACACCUGUUAGCAAGGGCCGGGCAAGACCGGUGCCAGCCGCCGCGGUAACACCGGCGGCCCGAGUGGUGAUCGUGAUUAUUGGGUCUAAAGGGUCCGUAGCCGGUUUGGUCAGUCCUCCGGGAAAUCUGAUAGCUCAACUAUUAGGCUUUCGGGGGAUACUGCCAGACUUGGAACCGGGAGAGGUAAGAGGUACUACAGGGGUAGGAGUGAAAUCUUGUAAUCCCUGUGGGACCACCUGUGGCGAAGGCGUCUUACCAGAACGGGUUCGACGGUGAGGGACGAAAGCUGGGGGCACGAACCGGAUUAGAUACCGGGUAGUCCCAGCCGUAAACGAUGCUCGCUAGGUGUCAGCAUGGCGCGACCGUGUCUGGUGCCGCAGGAAGCCGUGAAGCGAGCCACCUGGGAAGUACGGCGCAAGGCUGAAACUUAA
rnacentral:rRNA from 1 species